rnacentral:lncRNA from 1 species
UGCUCCUUCUAUUCAUUUCAGAGUUAUCGUGGAAGGAUUUGCUAAAGGACCAAAGACAACUGCCAACCUCUUCAAAGGCAAUUUUCCUGCAUCAGUGUCACACAGUGGGGAACCUUCAUCUGCUUGGGAUGACAAAGAUCUGCAGUCUCCUCACCCAGCUACCUGUUCAUCAGUUAGUCCCUUUGGCAGAAUCAUCCAUGCCAUU